GAAAGAUGGUUCUGCUAUCACUCUUGGAUGGACCUGCGGUGCAUUAGCUAGUUGGUAAGGUAACGGCUUACCAAGGCAAUGAUGCAUAGCCGAGUUGAGAGACUGAUCGGCCACAUUGGGACUGAGACACGGCCCAAACUCCUACGGGAGGCAGCAGUAGGGAAUCUUCCACAAUGGACGAAAGUCUGAUGGAGCAACGCCGCGUGAGUGAAGAAGGGUUUCGGCUCGUAAAGCUCUGUUGGUAGUGAAGAAAGAUAGAGGUAGUAACUGGCCUUUAUUUGACGGUAAUUACUUAGAAAGUCACGGCUAACUACGUGCCAGCAGCCGCGGUAAUACGUAGGUGGCAAGCGUUGUCCGGAUUUAUUGGGCGUAAAGCGAGUGCAGGCGGUUCAAUAAGUCUGAUGUGAAAGCCUUCGGCUCAACCGGAGAAUUGCAUCAGAAACUGUUGAACUUGAGUGCAGAAGAGGAGAGUGGAACUCCAUGUGUAGCGGUGGAAUGCGUAGAUAUAUGGAAGAACACCAGUGGCGAAGGCGGCUCUCUGGUCUGCAACUGACGCUGAGGCUCGAAAGCAUGGGUAGCGAACAGGAUUAGAUACCCUGGUAGUCCAUGCCGUAAACGAUGAGAGCUAAGUGUUGGGAGGUUUCCGCCUCUCA
rnacentral:rRNA from 1 species